CUGCUACCAUAGUAUUAUCUUUUGUUGUGUAUUUAACUCUGGUCAAUAUCUAUUACAUUAUAGGUUUUGUAACUAUAUCCCCCCCCCUUUUAUCCCUUGCAACGUACCCCACACUUCAAAAGUAUUCCAUAUAAAAAAAGAAGAUGUGAUAUGAUUGCAAAUGAGACAACUCUCCAAAUGAGACCAAAUGAGACAUAAAACAAUUAUAGGUCCCGUACGGGCUUCAACAAUGAGUAAAAUUCAUACUGCAUAGUCUUCAAUUCCCGAAAUGAAUAAUGUAAAACAAACAAAAACUCUAACGACCUGAUUAAUGUACAAAAUAAAUAAGAAAGAAACAAAUAUAGUAUAUAGAAACACUGCAUUACCGUUUCGUGACUUGAAACAGACACAUACAGAUAUUGGCGGGGUUUAACUUUUUUAAGGGUACGUCAACACUCCCCUAACCUCGGACUGGAACCGUGUGUACCAGUGCAACAAGCUUUAUACCAAACC
rnacentral:lncRNA from 1 species